UUAUAAUAUACCUCCUCGCAGCUGCAAUGUUGCCCCACUUCACCGCUAUGGGUCCCAGAUCUUAUGGUGAAGAGGCAGCGGCUCUACACAACGAAACACUAGCGUUGCCUCUUCGCCGUUGCAAUGUUGCCCCUUCGCCACUGCAAUGUUGCCUCUUCUUCGCCGCUGCAAUGUUGCCUCUUCUUCGCCGCUGCAAUGUUGCCCCUUCGCCGCUUUGCCGCUGUUAUAACUGUUCUUCCCUUCGACGCUGCCGCUGUUUCCAGGUAUCGCCGCACUUCUACUCCUUUUUCUUCUUCUUCUUCUUUUCUUCUUUCGUCCAAGAUUGAGAAGUGAUAUCAGUAGACAAAUAGGAUGGCUGGAUCCAACCAGCACUCAUCAAUAAGAAAGCAGCAGCAUAGGGCAGCAACGGAACACUCUAGUGAGUGGAGAAAUCAUAACAAAAACCAUACAUAUUGGACUAACGAAGAUGGAGAUAUCUGCACUGGUGUUGGCUUGUGGUUUGAGGGUCGGAGCUGACGGAACAUAUCGUAAGUGCAAGAUUUGAUCUUGUAUGGGCUAUCCAUUGGCAUUGCAUUUCGUGAAGUGCUUCACAGUUGUGUCUUCGGGAAUUUGUGUGGUUUGCCAUGUCAAUUUCUCGUUCUGCUUUGACAUAAACACUUCCAAGCUUGAAAUUUUGAUUGCAGCUUCAGAGCAGAUCAAGUGUGUUCAAAGGCAGCAAAUACUUCAAGAUCGAUCACUGAUAUCAGCCGACAGAUAGGAUGGCUGGAUCCAAGCAGCAAUCAUCAGUAAGAAACCAGCAGCAAGGGCAGCAAGGCAGCAAAACAAAGCUUUCUAAUUAGUGGAGAAAUCAUCACAAAAACCAUAAGAAGACAUACAUAGGGAGGCUACUGCCACCACAACCACCCACCUUCACGACAAACUGUUGUUGUUGGAUUAGACGCAGGAAAUCUAAUUGCUGGAGCUACGCAUGGGGAAGAUGUCUAAUGGUGCAGUGCUCCAAGGGAUGUGCAUACCUGUGCAACUGAUGUUGUAGAGAUUGGCAUUGAUGGUGGCCUCCUCUGUACAGACUUGCUCUAACUUCCAAACCAAUAUAUUGUAUCGAAAUGUCAACAGAGACAAUCGAACUAUGGUUUGCUUGAGCAUCGAGAGAAUAGAUACUAGUUUUUUUUAACUGAAUCUUUAAUUUGGUGGUGUUUUAUAGUUAUUGCCAAUUUGCCAGUGGUGUGUAGAUAUUGUUAAAUAUAUGAUCAGUGAGUGAGUUAGCACCAGUGGUGUGUAGAUGUUGCUAAAUAUAUGAUCAGUGAGUGAAUUAGCAGUGUCA